UAAGACGUAGGGUCCGAGCGUUGUCCGGAGUUACUGGGCGUAAAGGGCGCGUAGGCGGCUUCUUGCGUCACACGUGAAAGCCCCCGGCUCAACCGGGGAGGGUCGUGUGAAACGGGGGAGCUGGAGGCAGCGAGAGGCUGGUGGAAUUCCCGGAGUAGUGGUGAAAUGCGUAGAGAUCGGGAGGAACACCGGUGGCGAAGGCGGCCAGCUGGCGCUGACCUGACGCUGAGGCGCGAAGGCGUGGGGAGCGAACGGG
rnacentral:rRNA from 1 species